ensembl:lincRNA
GUCCCGGCUCGCCCAUCUCCUUGCUCCCUCCCCAUCGUUCAGAUGGGGGGAAACUGAGGCUGGAAGGGAACCAGAGGCCGAGGAAGGGAUCAGGCCCAAAGAAAUGGGGGUGGGGGGGACCGGGACAGGUGCGGAGUAAUGGGGGGGUAGUUGGCGUCCCCCAGCCCCCCGCCCCCCUCGCCCGGCCCCAGGCUGUCGGGGUAAAAGCCCACAGGCUCCGCAGGUAGGUCCCGGCAGGGAGAGGGCGGGGUCCCGGCCACCCCCGGGAGAGUGGGGGAGGGGAGGCGGGAUUGACAGUCGGUAAUUGGGUAACUGGAGGCGGCUUCUCCGGCCGGGCAGCCCCGCCACCGCGACGCCGGGCCCCUGACGUCACCCGAUUCGCCAGGAAAUGAACUUUUUAAUAAUCCGGGGAGGGAGGAAAGCCCUCGGCCCCCCUGGCUUGGGGGGCGCCCGGCCGGGCCCAGCUCGGCAGGCGCGCCCCCUUCGUCCCGGCUCCCCGGUUGCACCCCCCUCGCCCCCUCCCAGGCCAGCUCUGGGCAGCGCGGACGCGGGCGCAGGCCGCGGCCGGGGUCCUCCGCCUGCCACUGCGUCCGGCGGCCCGAGUGUCGGUCCGAGGCCCCGGCACAGUGACCAGUGCUGAGGGAGGCUCUCCGCUGAGCACUGAGGGACACACGUGGAAGCAGAUACUAGUGACCACGUGCAGGCAGGCAAGUUAGUGCGGUCGAGGACACGGGCGCAUCACCAGGCCGUGUUAAUUCCAGGCUGCCGUCCUCAGAAGCACCGGGCGCUUGCUGGAGGAGAGGCACUUACCCUCAUCUGGGAGCAUAAUACCUAAAGAAUGCCUGCAAAUGGAUGACUUUAAAAAGCAGCAGUACAAUAGAGAAAACAGCCAAAGGGUAUGAACAUAAAAACCAUAGAAAAAGAAAUAGAAAUGUCUCUUAAAUGAAUGAAAUAAAUCUCAGUCACACUCGUAAAAAGAGAAAUGAAAGUCAAAACCAUAUCAAGAUAUUUAGGGGGAGCAGAUAGUGCUCAACUGGGUGAGCAUCUGCUUCCCGUGGAAGAGGUUUUAGGGUCGAUCCCCAGUACCUCCUAAAAAAAACCAAGCAAACAUAAAAACCAACUCCCAUUGGGGAGUGGAUGUAGCUCAGGGGUUGAUCACCUGCUUCCAAUGUACAAGGUCCUGGGUUCAAUCCCCAGUGUCUCCUUUGAAAAAAAAAAGAAAACAUAGGUAGUUGGGGUGAAGGAGAUGUUCUAAAAUUAGAUUUGUGGUGAUGGUUGUAACUCUGUACGUUUACUAGAAAUCACUGAAGUACCCAUUUAAAAUAAGUGAAUUUUAUACUAUAUAAAUUACCUUCAAGAAAGCUGUUUAAAACAUAAAAAAUAAAAUACCCUCUGAGAUUCCAUUUUAGACCCCUCAGUAUCAGCAAAUAUCAUAAAAUCUGAGAACAUACUGUGUUAUCAAGGGUGUGGGGAGACAGGCCAGUGGAAGGAUAAACUGAUGCAUUCUUGGGGUGGGAUGAGCCAGUUGACAGAUUUACCAACACAGUCACCCCUUCAGCCACUAGUUCCGUUUAUAGGACUUUAUCCGAUAGAUUUGUUCUUGUGCCUGUGAAAUUUCAUAUUUAUAUUCACCAUUGCCUUAUACAUUAUGACAAAGGGUUAGAAAGAAAAGAUGUUCCUUGAAAAGUGACAGUUAAAGUAAUGUAUGACAGCCAAGCAGUGGAAUGUUACGCUGCUGUCAAAAAGAAAGAAAAGGAGGGGAAGAAGAGGGAAGGAAGGGAAGGCAGCUCAUUAUGUGCUGAUAGCAAAUGGUCUCAAGAUAUAGCAAAAAGAUAAAGAAGAAGAAAACGCGUGGUGUGCUUCCAUUUGAUUAAGUUGGGGAUAGGGAGAGAGAGCUGUUCUUAUUUGCUUACAUAUUUAUAGAAUUUCUCUGGAAGGAAGCAAAAGACACUGAUAAGAGUGGCUGACACCUUCAGCAGUACCUGGUUUGGGCUGGGGGCCAGUGUUGGGAGGAAGACUUUUCACUGUGUCCCCUCUGAGUCUUUGAUUCUGGUUAAAAUGUGAUUAUGGAUAUGUGUAGGUGUGUGUCCUUACACAAGACAAAACAAAAAAUUGAUUGAAAUAGAUGUUUGCUGGGAAGAGAAGUGAGGGACACAAUGCAAGUCAUUGGCUAGAGCUUAAUGAAACAAGAAUUGUGCAUGGCUGGCAGGAGUGUGCCUUGGUACUAGUAUUUUGAGGAGUAAUUUGGCUACAUCUGAUAAAGUUAAAGAUACAAAGGCCACAUGACCCAGCAAAUCCUCUCCUAGGCAUGUGGGAAACCCUCACGUGUGAGCGGAGGGGAAGUGGGCAAGGAUGAAGCUUUGGACACAAUCGGAUGGCCCAUCUUGGAGCAACGAGGUAGCUAAAGGCGACGUUCUUAGGAUGCCCCCCAGCAACUACAGUGUGCUUUAUCUGUAAGCAUCUGCCUGGUUAGACAUGAGGUCCAUAAUGUUGUAAUCAAACAACUGGCAGAAUUUUAAACAAAAGACUGUACUGUAUAUUGUUAAUGGAAAUGA